AGAGCGAACGCUGGCGGCAGGCUUAACACAUGCAAGUCGAGCGCCCGUAGCAAUACGGGAGCGGCAGACGGGAGAGUAACACGUGGGAACGUACCCUUCAGUUCGGAACAACCCAGGGAAACUUGGGCUAAUACCGAAUACGUCCGUAAGGAGAAAGAUUUACCGCUGAAGGAUCGGCCCGCGUCUGAUUAGCUAGUUGGUGAGGUAAUGGCUCACAAGGCUACGAUCAGUAGCUGGUCUGAGAGGAUGAUCAGCCU
rnacentral:rRNA from 1 species